GGAUAUUUGCCGAGCAAACGAAUGGAACAGUGCAACCAUUUUUCCUCUUUGCAAAUCCUUUGAACGAUUAUUACGAUUUUAUUAAUUAGAAAAACGAUCAUUCAGAUUCGUUAUCUUGCAAACUGUUGUAAUUAAAUUCAGCCCGGGCGAAUCCCGGCGACAAAAAACCUAAUCCCGCUGGAGCUCGGGAAUUAAUCAGACACAUUUAUAGUAGUGAAUUGGACUGGAAGGAGUCUGCAUUAAUGCUUUUGAAUGAAAAUUGCAUAUGUCCGGGGUGCAUAGCAACUAGUACUUGUCGGAUCGAUCGGUGUUCAUCCACUUGUUUAUUUCUAUUUUUCGCAAUUAUUCCAUGAGAAUAUUAAAGGCGAUGAGCGGAAAUGCUCCCGAUUGAGCCGCUUUUUACUGCCGUUAUGGGAGGGCCGAGCUCCUCCACCCUUAUCGCGGCCUCUUCAUUAUUGCCACUUGACUAGCUUUCGACUGAAUUAUCCUGCCUGGAAUAUCGACUACCGAAAGCAACAAUUUCGCCAAUUAUUCUCUUUCUAUAAUUGAAUCGCUGUUGAUGGGUUUGGGUGACGCACAGGGAGGGUGCCGCCACGUGACCGCAGGACCCAUGAAAAAUCGGAAAUUGGAAUGAGAAAUGACGUCAUCCGCCGCCAAAUUAGACCCUUGAUGCGAAAACCUUGGAUUGUUUACUCCCUGAAUUUGACGCCGAUAUAAAUGCAAAAUGCCACUGUUGAGGCGAGCACAGCGAGAUGGCUCAAUUAGAGGUCUUUGUUUUGCUGUUCGUUUUAAUGAGCGUCGUUUGUGACUGGAAGGGCCCCGUUUGUGCAUAUCCAACCGCCGAGGAAGGAGCAAUCGAUGCCGGAGCUGAAUCCGUGUCCAAACGAAUUACGCGCAAUACACAGAACACAAUUCCGCAAAAUUAUGUGAAUCCCGGAGGAGAAAGAAGCCAAAUCCGCAUAAAGAAAAGAGAUUUGAGGAGGAAAAGGAAGUUUCGUCCUAUUCCCGUGUUUUGCGGGUAACUUGCUUAUCAAUUGACCGUUUACUGCGAAUUAUUUUGCAACGCGUGAAACGACCGAACACACAAAGGGUGUGUUUGCCAAAAAUUUAUUAAAUUAAUCAAUUCAUUAUUUAAGUUUGCUCAUUGUUAGCGAGGGAAGCAAUUAUAUCGUAAUCCUAAUUUGUUAUUCAAUGUGUAUUGUGUAACACAAUAAAUGUUAAUUUUCUUGUUUGGUAAACAUUGUGAUAUAGGUACGAAAUAUACGCUCAACUAGUUAGUAAUGUGUACAAGCUUCAUCGCAAAAAUUACUGUCAGAGCAGUGGCGAGGGUGUAAAACUAGGAGAUGAGUGAGCUACGUUCUUAAUUCUAAAGUUAUUUAAAUUAUGAAACCAAAUGGUACACAUUUCUGCUGAAACGCAUAAACAUGAGCAUAUGAGAAAAAACAGUCGUUAAAAUAAGCCAAAAAAUCGCCUAAUACGUCGAACUUAUCUUAUUACUUCGUAAGCAGUGUAAUAAGAUUUCUUAAUUUGAUAUUUGUUUGGUGUUAGCAUGUAAGCAUGUAAGCAAAGAAUUAUCAUGUACUCGUAUAUAUUAUUUGAAUAAAUCAUUUGUAUAUAG